rnacentral:rRNA from 1 species
UACGUAGGGGUCGAGCGUUGUCCGGAGUUACUGGGCGUAAAGCGCGCGCAGGCGGCGCGAUAAGACCGGCGUGAAAUCCCCGGGCUUAACCUGGGAACCGCAUUUGUGACUGCAUAGCUGGAGUACGGCAGAGGGGGAUGGAAUUCCGCGUGUAGCAGUGAAAUGCGUAGAUAUGCGGAGGAACACCGAUGGCGAAGGCGGCCCCCUGGUUGGAUACUGACGCUGAGACGCGAAAGCGUGGGGAGCAAACAGG